AACGAACGCUGGCGGCAGGCUUAACACAUGCAAGUCGAGCGAGACCUUCGGGUCUAGCGGCGGACGGGUGAGUAACGCGUGGGAACAUGCCCUUCUCUACGGAAUAGCCCCGGGAAACUGGGAGUAAUACCGUAUACGCCCUUUGGGGGAAAGAUUUAUCGGAGAAGGAUCGGCCCGCGUUGGAUUAGGUAGUUGGUGGGGUAAUGGCCCACCAAGCCGACGAUCCAUAGCUGGUUUGAGAGGAUGAUCAGCCACACUGGGACUGAGACACGGCCCAGACUCCUACGGGAGGCAGCAGUGGGGAAUCUUAGACAAUGGGGGCAACCCUGAUCUAGCCAUGCCGCGUGAGUGAUGAAGGCCUUAGGGUUGUAAAGCUCUUUCAGCUGGGAAGAUAAUGACGGUACCAGCAGAAGAAGCCCCGGCUAACUCCGUG
rnacentral:rRNA from 1 species